rnacentral:ribozyme from 1 species
AGUUGUCCGAGCAGCUAUAAACAGUCCAUUAAGCUCGGAGCGUUUGGCAGUCUGAGUAAGGCUGUCAAGGUUGGA